GGGGAUGUGGCUCAGCGGUAGAGCGCUUGCCUGGCAUGCGAGUGGCCCGAGUUCCAUCCUCA
rnacentral:tRNA from 1 species